CGUAGGGACCGAGCGUUGUCCGGAUUCAUUGGGCGUAAAGAGCUCGUAGGCGGCCACUCAAGUCGAAUGUGAAACCUCGAGGCUUAACCUCGAGCCUGCAUUCGAUACUGGGCGGCUAGAGUCUGGUAGGGGAUCUGGAAUUCCUGGUGUAGCGGUGGAAUGCGCAGAUAUCAGGAGGAACACCGGUGGCGAAGGCGGGAUCCUGGGCCAGUACUGACGCUGAGGAGCGAAAGCGUGGGGAGCAAACAGGAUUAGAUACCCUGGUAGUCCACGCCGUAAACGAUGGGCGCUAGGUGUGGGAGGUCAUCGACUCCUUCCGUGCCGCAGCUAACGCAUUAAGCGCCUCGCCUGGGGAGUACGGCCGCAAGGCUA
rnacentral:rRNA from 1 species